UACGUAGGGUGCGAGCGUUGUCCGGAAUUACUGGGCGUAAAGAGCUCGUAGGUGGUUUGUCGCGUUGUUCGUGAAAACUCACAGCUUAACUGUGGGCGUGCGGGCGAUACGGGCAGACUGGAGUACUGCAGGGGAGACUGGAAUUCCUGGUGUAGCGGUGGAAAUGCGCAGAUAUCAGGAGGAACACCGGUGGCGAAGGCGGGUCUCUGGGCAGUAACUGACGCUGAGGAGCGAAAGCGUGGGGAGCGAACAGG
rnacentral:rRNA from 1 species